AACAGAGCAAGAAGUGAUAAAAGAAGUUAAAAAAGAAAAGAACAGAGUGAAAGAGGAAAUGAAUGUGAAUGGCAAAUACAAAUUCAAUGAAGAAGUUGGUAAGAAUUACGGAGAAGGUACCUCAAAAUCCGUGCCAGUUCAAAGCAGCACUGAGAGUAUGGACUCAUUUAAGGGUAAAGAAAUCAAGAGGAAUACUAGUCUUGAUACAUUUUGUAGUCCUGAGAGCGUUCUUUCUUCCAAGAGUCCUGGUGAGGACUCUGUGAGGAAGAAAGGAGUGAGCUUUGAGUUCGAGGAGGCAUCUACUAUGGAUAUUGAGUCUUCUAAACGCAGUAGCUUAACCACAUUGUCUGUUCAUGGUACUAGGGAUCUCCAAGAAGUGGUG
rnacentral:misc_RNA from 1 species